UACAGAGGGUGCAAGCGUUGUUCGGAAUUACUGGGCGUAAAGCGCGUGUAGGCGGCUAUGUAAGUCGGGCGUGAAAUCCCACGGCUCAACCGUGGAAGUGCACUCGAAACUGCAUAGCUAGAGUCCUGGAGAGGAAGGUGGAAUGCUUGGUGUAGAGGUGAAAUUCGUAGAUAUCAAGCGGAACACCGGUGGCGAAGGCGGCCUUCUGGACAGUGACUGACGCUGAGACGCGAAAGCGUGGGGAGCAAACAGG
rnacentral:rRNA from 1 species